rnacentral:rRNA from 1 species
ACGCUCGACCCUACGGAGGCAGCAGUAGGGAAUCUUCCACAAUGGACGCAAGUCUGAUGGAGCAACGCCGCGUGAGUGAAGAAGGUCUUCGGAUCGUAAAACUCUGUUGUUAGAGAAGAACACGAGUGAGAGUAACUGUUCAUUCGAUGACGGUAUCUAACCAGCAAGUCACGGCUAACUACGUGCCCGCAGCCGCGGUAAUCUGAGCGGGCUGGCAAGGC